UCCUACCAGGGCCGCAGAAGAAAACCGUUUUUCUCCCAGUCCUUUUUCAGUCCAGACAUUGACCUGAAACACUUUUAAUAAUAUCAACCAUCAGACCUCAAACCUCACACACAGAGGUGUUGCUGAGCCCUUGGCCAUUACCACCACAGCUGCCGUUGGACCCCCUGGGUGAACUACUAUGAGGAGUACUUCAACUGACCUUGUGUUGCACAGCAAUCGACCACUUGCAAUGAUAACCUCCUGCACUUAACCAAGGACAGUGGAUCUGGAGGGAACUGGCUCAUAGCAGAACUGAC